rnacentral:rRNA from 1 species
GACGAACGCUGGCGGCGUGCUUAACACAUGCAAGUCGAGCGGUAAGGCCCUUUCGGGGGUACACGAGCGGCGAACGGGUGAGUAACACGUGGGUGACCUGCCCUUAGCUCUGGGAUAAGCCUGGGAAACUGGGCCUAAUACCGGAUAUGACUCCAUAACGCAUGUUGUGGGGUGGAAAGCCUUGUGCGGCUAGGGAUGGGCCCGCGGCCUAUCAGCUUGUUGUGGGGUGAUGGCCUACCAAGGCGACGACGGGUAGCCGGCCUGAGAGGGCGACCGGCCACACUGGGACUGAGACACGGCCCAGACUCCUACGGGAGGCAGCAGUGGGGAAUCUUGCGCAAUGGGCGAAAGCCUGACGCAGCGACGCCGCGUGAGGGAUGACGGCC